GUACCCGUAGCUCAGCCGGACAGAGCAUCUGCCUUCUAAGCAGGGGGUCGCUGGUUCGAUUCCAGCCGGGUACG
rnacentral:tRNA from 1 species